AUACCUUUCUCGGCCUCUUGGCUAAGAUAAAGUAUAGUAUAUGUUUUUAUCAGUUUAAUAUCUAAUAUGUGGAUCUACGGAUUCAUGGGAUAUUAAGUUAUUUUUUAUGGGAAAGAAUUUGUCUAUGCAGCUCCCUACAUGGACGGUUCUCAUGUGUCGGCCUAGCGUUGCACUAUUGCUUGGAACAGGUGCACCCCAA
rfam:Triticum urartu cultivar G1812 contig439251, whole genome shotgun sequence.